AUUGAACGCUGGCGGCAGGCCUAACACAUGCAAGUCGAGCGAGCGGCGGACGGGUGAGUAAUUUAUGGGCACCUGCCCGAUAGAGGGGGAUAACUACUGGAAACGGUGGCUAAUACCGCAUACUAUCGGAUGAGCUCAUAGGGGAUUAGCUAGUGGGUGGGGUAACGGCUCACCUAGGCGACGAUCCCUAGCUGGUCUGAGAGGAUGAUCAGCCACACUGGGACUGAGACACGGCCCAGACUCCUACGGGAGGCAGCAGUAGGGAAUAUUGCACAAUGGGCGCAAGCCUGAUGCAGCCAUGCCGCGUGUAUGAAGAAGGCCUUAGGGUUGUAAAGUACUUUCAGCGGGGAGGCGUUACCCACAGAGGAAGCAACGGCUAACUCCGUGCCAGCAGCCGCGGUAAUUC
rnacentral:rRNA from 1 species